AUACGUAGGGUGCGAGCGUUAAUCGGAAUUACUGGGCGUAAAGCGUGCGCAGGCGGUUUUGUAAGUCAGAUGUGAAAUCCCCGGGCUUAACCUGGGAACUGCGUUUGAAACUGCAAGGCUAGAGUGUGGCAGAGGGGGGUGGAAUUCCGCGUGUAGCAGUGAAAUGCGUAGAGAUGUGGAGGAACACCGAUGGCGAAGGCAGCCCCCUGGGUCAACACUGACGCUCAGGCACGAAAGCAUGGGGAGCAAACAGGAUUAGAAACCCGUGUAGUCC
rnacentral:rRNA from 1 species